ACACACAAAAGCAUCCGCGAAAUGGGCUCAAUUCGGAGUCCGCACGGCUCCCGGCUGGGACAUCCGUCUUCCUCGGCCGGGUACCUCUUCGCCCUCCCGGGCCCUCUGCUUUGGACCACACGCCUUUUUUUAAAACAGGCCGCCAAACCGCGGGCCCCAUACAAAAAGACCGGCGGGACGCUGGGCUUUCCAACGCGCCAGAAAGAUGAGGUAACUGCGGCCCAG